GGUUGCGAUCAUACCAGCACUAAUGCACAGGAUCCCAUCAGAACUCCGCUGUUAUGCGUGCUUGGGCGAGAGUAGUACUAGGAUGGGUGACCCCCUGGGAAGUCCUCGUGUUGCAUCUA
rnacentral:rRNA from 1 species